rnacentral:rRNA from 1 species
AAAGGGUAGCCGGCCGCGGAGGUGGUCUUCCGUGGUCAAGCACGCAGGGCGUGGGACAGGCAAAUCCGUCCCGCAUGGGUCCGAGGUGCGAUGAUGGGGGCCUUAUGGCCCGAUAUCCGGUGAUCCCGGCUGCCGAGAAAAGCUUCGGCGUCAGGCUCAAAGCCGCCCGUACCCCAAACCGACACUGGUGGUCAGGUAGAGAAUACCAAAGCGAUCGAGGGAAUCCUGGUCAAGGAACUCGGCAAAUCACUCCCGUUCCUUCGGUUUAAGGGAGACCCCCGAUGGUGAACACACUUGCUGUGGGAGCUUUUGGGGGUGGCACAGACCAGGGGGUAGCGACUGUUUACCAAAAACACAGGUGCAUGCGAAGGCGCAAGCCGCUGUAUAUGCACUGACGCCUGCCCGGUGCCGGAAGGUUAAGAGGAUCCGUCAGCCUUCGGGUGAAGCGGUGAAUUCAAGCCCCGGUAAACGGCGGUGGUAACAAUAACCAUCCUAAGGUAGCGAAAUUCCUUGUCGGGUAAGUUCCGACCUGCACGAAUGGCGUAACGACUUCCCCACUGUCUCGACCAGGAGCUCGGCGAAAUUGCAGUACGAGUAAAGAUGCUCGUUAAGCGCAGAAGGACGAAAAGACCCCGGGACCUUUACUAUACCUUGGUAUUGGCAUUCGGUGUGGAUUGUGUAGCAUAGGCGGGAGGCCGAGAGGCACGGUCGCCAGAUCGCGCGGAGCCGUAAGGUGAAAUACCGCUCUGUUCGCAUUGGAUGUCUAACCUCGAACAGUCAUCCUGUUCAGGGACAGUGCCUGGCGGGUAGUUUAACUGGGGCGGUUGCCUCCCAAAGAGUAACGGAGGCGCCCAAAGGUCCGCUCAGCCCGGUUGGCAAUCGGGUGGCGAGUGCAAGUGCACAAGCGGGCUUGACUGCGAGGACGACGGUCCGAGCAGGGACGAAAGUCGGGACUAGUGAUCCGGUGCCGGUGUACGGACGCGGCAUCGCUCAACGGAUAAAAGGUACCCCGGGGAUAACAGGCUGAUCAUUCCCAAGAGUCCAUAUCGACGGGAUGGUUUGGCACCUCGAUGUCGGCUCGUCGCAUCCUGGGGCUGGAGCAGGUCCCAAGGGUUCGGCUGUUCGCCGAUUAAAGCGGCACGCGAGCUGGGUUCAGAACGUCGUGAGACAGUUUGGUCUCUAUCCUCUGCGCUCGUUGGAAUGCUGAGGAGGCCUGCCCAUAGUACGAGAGGACCUGGGUGGACGAACCUCUGGUAUGCCGGUUGUCACGCCAGUGGCACGGCCGGUUGGCUACGUUCGGAAGGGAUAACCGCUGAAAGCAUCUAAGCGGGAAGCCUGCUCCAAGAUAAGCAUUCCGUGGAACCUUCGAGUUCCUGUAGUCCCCAUGCAGAACACGUGGUCGAUAGGCCGGACGUGGAAGCCCCGCGAGGGGUGGAGCCGACCGGUACUAACGGACGAAAGCCA